rnacentral:rRNA from 1 species
CCAAGACUAUGAUGUGUAGCCGGGCUGAGAGGUUGAACGGCCACAUUGGGACUGAGACACGGCCCAAACUCCUACGGGAGGCAGCAGUAGGGAAUUUUCGGCAAUGGAGGAAACUCUGACCGAGCAACGCCGCGUGAACGAUGAAGUAUUUCGGUACGUAAAGUUCUUUUAUUAGGGAAGAAUAAAUGAUGGAAAAAUCAUUCUGACGGUACCUAAUGAAUAAGCCCCGGCUAACUAUGUGCCAGCAGCCGCGGUAAUACAUAGGGGGCAAGCGUUAUCCGGAAUUAUUGGGCGUAAAGGGUGCGUAGGCGGUUAAAUAAGUUUAUGGUCUAAGUGCAAUGCUUAACAUUGUGAUGCUAUAAAAACUGUUUAGCUAGAGUAAGAUAGAGGCAAGUGGAAUUCCAUGUGUAGUGGUAAAAUGCGUAAAUAUAUGGAGGAACACCAGUAGCGAAGGCGGCUUGCUGGGUCUUUACUGACGCUGAGGCACGAAAGCGUGGGGAGCAAACAGGAUUAGAUACCCUGGUAGUCCACGCCGUAAACGAUGAGUACUAAAUGUUGGGUAAAACCAGUGUUGAAGUUAACACAUUAAGUACUCCGCCUGAGUAGUACGUACGCAAGUAUGAAACUUAAAGGAAUUGACGGGACUCCGCACAAGCGGUGGAUCAUGUUGUUUAAUUCGAAGGUACCCGAAAAACCUCACCAGGUCUUGACAUGCUUCUGCAAAGCUGU